rnacentral:rRNA from 1 species
CCCUUCAGAGGGGGACAACAGUUGGAAACGACUGCUAAUACCGCAUACGAUCCAAUCUCGGCAUCGAGACUGGAUGAAAGGUGGCCUCUAUUUAUAAGCUAUCACUGAAGGAGGGGAUUGCGUCUGACUAGCUAGUUGGAGGGGUAACGGCCCACCAAGGCGAUGAUCAGUAGCCGGUCUGAGAGGAUGAACGGCCACAUUGGGACUGAGACACGGCCCAG